rnacentral:tRNA from 1 species
GGUUAUUUAGUUUAGUUAAAAUAUGGGUUUUGUAAUCCCAGGAUAACGUCCAUCGUUAUUAACCU